CAGAGUCCAGAUGAGGAGAAUGUACAAAGGAGACUGGAAAGACCUGACUCGAAAACUCCCAGCCACAGAUGUUUCUGUGACAAGGAGCAUGACCUACAUUGGUUUGCAAGUGACCUUCCUCUGUUUGGGCAUGGUGACCAUGUACACAUUUUUCUGUGUUAUUGGUGGCUU